rnacentral:rRNA from 1 species
CUACACACGUCAUACAAUGGCUGGUACCAAAGGGUUGGCCAACCCGCAGGGGGGCCAAUCCCAUAAAGCCAGUCGUAGUCCGGAUCGUAGUCUGCAACUCGACUACGUGAAGUCGGAAUCGCUAGUAAUCGUGGAUCAGAAUGUCACGGUGAAUACGUUCCCGGGUCCUU